rnacentral:tRNA from 1 species
ACAUUCUUAGCUUAAUUGGAUAAAGCAUUAACCUUCUAAGUUAAAAAAUAAAGGUUCAAAUCCUUUAGAAUGUG